GAUGAAGAACGUAGCGAAAUGCGAUAAGUAGUGUGAAUUGCAGAAUUCAGUGAAUCAUCGAAUCUUUGAACGCACAUUGCGCCCCUUGGUAUCCCGAGGGGCAUGCCUGUUCGAGCGUCAUUUCACCACUCAAGCCUGGCUUGGUGUUGGGCGACGUCCCCUUUGGGGACGCGCCUCGAAACGCUCGGCGGCGUGGCACCGGCUUUAAGCGUAGCAGAAUCUUUCGCUUUGGAAGUCGGGGCCCCGUCUGCCGGAAGACCUACUCGCGAGGUUGACCUCGGAUCAGGCAGGGAUACCCGCUGAACUUAAGCAUAUCAAUAAGCGGAGGA
rnacentral:misc_RNA from 1 species